CCUACGGGGGGCAGCAGUAGGGAAUAUUGCUCAAUGGGGGAAACCCUGAAGCAGCAACGCCGCGUGGAGGAUGAAGGUUUUCGGAUUGUAAACUCCUUUUGUUAGAGAAGAUAAUGACGGUAUCUAACGAAUAAGCACCGGCUAACUCCGUGCCAGCAGCCGCGGUAAUACGGAGGGUGCAAGCGUUACUCGGAAUCACUGGGCGUAAAGAGCGCGUAGGCGGGAUAGCAAGUCAGAUGGGAAAUCCUAUGGCUUAACCAUAGAACUGCAAUUGAAACUGUUAUUCUAGAGUAUGGGAGAGGUAGGUGGAAUUCUUGGUGUAGGGGUGAAAUGCGUAGAGAUCAGGAGGAAUACUGAUGGCGAAGGCGGCUUGCUAGAACAUAACUGACGCUGAUGCGCGAAAGCGUGGGGAGCAAACAGGAUUAGAUACCCUAGUAGUC
rnacentral:rRNA from 1 species